rnacentral:tRNA from 1 species
UUGGCAUAGUGGUUAAGAGUUUGGCUGUUAACCAAAAGGUUGGCAGUUUGAAUCUGCCA